GCCAAGAUGGUGAGCGCGGGCAGGGGGCGGUGGCGGUGCAGGGCGUAGGGUGGCCGGGCCCGGGGCGGAUCGGAUCGGCGCGCCCUUGUCUGCCCCGCUUCGCUGCUCGGCCAUCGGAGUUCCCGGGGGUGACGGUGGCCGUCGGUCGAGGGGCGCUGGGGCCGUGCUGAGUCAUAGGGGUCCGGCGCGGCCAUGGUGGAUGCUCAGCGGGGAACGGGCGUCUCUGCCCGCGCCGCCCGGUCUUCACUGGGCAUCCUCUUGGGGCCGGGAAGGCGCGAAGGGAUUCCAGAGGUGCUGCUUCUCUGUUGAAGGAUACUAUCCCAAUUAUCGACUUCUCAGCUUCAGGACCAUUUGAAGGUUAUGAUCUUCUGCGUAGAGGUUUUACAAGUGCGAAAAGUGAAUUGCUGCCCAGCCACCCACUAGAACUGAUAGAAAAAAAUUUCCAGUUAAAUCAAGAUAAAACGAACUUUGCCACACUGAGAAAUAUUCAAGGACUUCAUGCACCUUUAAAGCUGCAGAUGGAAUUCAGAGCAGUGAAACAGGUCCAGCGCCUGCCAUUUCUUCACAGCUCAAACUUAGCACUGGAUACUCUGAGGGGAAAUGAUGGAUCCAUCAGUUUUGAGGAUAUCCUUAAUGAUCCUUCACAGAGUGAGGUUAUGGGAGAACCACACAUGAUGAUGGAAUAUAAGCUUGGUUUAUUGUAACAAAAUGUACUCCACAAAAAUGUUUUGUGUGUGUCUUUAUACUGCAGAUCUAAAUACAUGAUACCCUAAACACACUGACACUCACAGUGUUAAGUAGUCCUACAGUUAUUAUUUGCCUUCCUUGAUGAAAAGGCACAUUAAAUGUUUAAAGUCUACAAACUGUUCUGUGCUUGUUGUCACUUAUAUAAAUGUCCUGUAACUAGGUAGUUUAAAUAAUAUGUUUUCAUACACUGCUCAGGACAAUAGCUUCUUAACUAUGGAAGUGCUAUAUAUGUAUACAAGAAAUCCAAAAAUACCCAUGCAUUUUAAAACUGAUUACUGUAGGUAAAUGCAUUUAACAGAUGUUCUUGCAGAAGAACUUUUUAAGGGGGAAAAGAAGGUGUUUUCCAUUGAGUAACUCUUUGUUCAUGACAAUUUCCAUACACUUUUUAAACUAUUGAAUAAAAAUUUGCUAUAAAUGCUUUUGCGUUCCAAAAUAUAUUUCAUCAUAAAUCCUGCUAUAUACAGUUUAUCCCUUCCCUCUUGACAGUUUUGCAUGAGUGAGCCAUUAAGCUUUUGUGUGGAAUUGGAAGUUAUCACUGUAAGAAGGGAAUUAAAGGUCUGGCUUUUUUUUAUCUGUGUCCCUGAGAGGAUAUUCUGGUUUCUGAAAGUAGAAGCAAA